UGGGGAAUAUUGGACAAUGGGCGCAAGCCUGAUUCAGCCAUGCCGCGUGAGUGAUGAAGGCCCUAGGGUUGUAAAGCUCUUUUGUGCGGGAAGAUAAUGACGGUACCGCAAGAAUAAGCCCCGGCUAACUUCGUGCCAGCAGCCGCGGUAAUACGAAGGGGGCUAGCGUUGCUCGGAAUCACUGGGCGUAAAGGGUGCGUAGGCGGGUCUUUAAGUCAGGGGUGAAAUCCUGGAGCUCAACUCCAGAACUGCCUUUGAUACUGAGGAUCUUGAGUUCGGGAGAGGUGAGUGGAACUGCGAGUGUAGAGGUGAAAUUCGUAGAUAUCGGGAGGAACACCAGUGGCGCAAGCGAUCACCUGGGCUAGACCUGACGCUGAGGGACGAAAGCGUGGGGAGCAAACGGGAUUAGAUACCCCGGUAGUCCACGCGGUAAACGAUGGAUACUAGGUGUGAGUGGUAUCGACCCCACUUGUGCCGCAGCUAACGCGUUAAGUAUCCCGCCUGGGGAGUACGGCCGCAAGG
rnacentral:rRNA from 1 species